UAGACAUGAUGACGUGGGUUCCCCUGCUAACUUUGAUUAGACAUGAUGACGAGGGUUCCCCUGCUAACUUUGAUUAGACAUAAUGACGAGGGUUCCCCUGCUAACUUUGAUUAGACAUGAUGACGAGGGUUCCCCUGCUAACUUUGAUUAGACAUGAUGACGAGGAUUCCCCUACUAACUUUGAUUAGACAUGAAGGGGAAGAAAAUACAGAAAUAUUGUAAUUUGUGGCUCACAGGGUUGAAAUAUUCUGGUAACUUUACUUAAAUGUCCCAUGUUUCCUCCAGAAAUCCUGGUUGGACGAUUCCAGAUUUCUUGUUUAUUUCUGGGAAUUUGAGGAAAGUUACUGGGAUUUCACAACCCUGGUCGCUCAGCUGGCGCUUGGCAAUGUCAACUUUUUAUUUGGAAAUUAUAUUUGUCAAAGGGGUUGCAAGGAAAUGUAGAUUUUUUUUUUGAGCCGUGUGUUUGCAGCCCGAUUCACAAAGCCCUCGUAAAUUUCACAGUGAACAUGAAAGUAACGAGUGACCGAUGAUCUUUAUAAUUGCAAUGAGCUUUCAUCAAGAUCUCUUUCUGUGGUUGAAGAGGCCAUCUAGUGGCAAAUGAUGUGGUCAUAACCUUUCAAUACAGCCUAAAAUAGCCAUUUCACUUCAGCCAAAUAUUGUUUCAAAUCAAUUACUCUAUGAAACAACUGCAUUGUUUUAUGGUGUAAAAAUGUAAAUAUUUUUCCUCUUUAGUUCCUUGUACCAGUUUGGCACCUAUAGUUAUUGUUUGGGCCAAACCUUCCUACUGAACAAUUCAUGACUCCUUCAUUUCUGUUCCAACCCGAGCGGGAAGAAUGUCUGAGCCUUUGCAUGGUGCUUCAAUUGUAAAAGACAAGAUGACAUGAUUUCACAAAUAACGAGCAUCUUCUGGUGUGACUGGUAAUGGGUCUUUAUUUUAUUGUUUUAUGCAAAUGUCAUUUGAUUUUGAAGAUACAGAGGAAUGUAUAUGAACACUUUAUUAACAUGGAAUAGCUAUCGUUUGGUUUUAAAAUGUGUCCAGUGUCCAGAUCUGUAUCUGUUGCAGUAUGAUUAUAUAAAAGAGAAGAACUGUGCAAUUAAAAAAAUACAGGUAUCAUUGUCCGGAAAGACACAUUUCAGUUGAAUGCAUUCAGUUGUACAGGUAUCAUUGUCCGGAAAGACACAUUUCAGUUGAAUGCAUUCAGUUGUACAGGUAUCAUUGUCCGGAAAGACACAUUUCAGUUGAAUGCAUUCAGUUGUACAGGUAUCAUUGUCCUGAAAGACACAUUUCAGUUGAAUGCAUUCAGUUGUACAGGUAUCAUUGUCCGGAAAGACACAUUUCAGUUGAAUGCAUUCAGUUGUACAGGUAUCCCCCCUUUUCUUUCUCUAAAUGGCUAGUAAAGCAAACAAGAAUUGUCUGUUUUAAAAAUCCAGAGACAAGUAUUGUUUUUAAACAAGGCCUACUUUAGAUCACAUCAAACACCAACCCUGAAUUCAUU